ensembl:lncRNA
AUGCAAUGGAAGAAGUGGGAGAGGUCUCGGGGUGAGGUGCCCACCGGCCAUGCCCAACCCACCGUCCCGGGAGCAGGGGGGAGCAUUCCCGGGAGACGCCCUGGGGCGUCCCCUGAGGGCCCCCAGCAGCCGAGUGGGACGACCCUCGGAGACCCUGGACACGAGCCCCCAGAGGCUGCUGGCGGCUCACGGGCUGCACACUGCACCGGCGUGGGCCCGGGCUGGGGUGAGAGGUGGCGGGAGGCCACCGCAGAGCUCAGGGGGGCAGGCUGCCGACCCCCUGCGGUGCCUUCAGGUGCACGUGGGCCCUGGGCCGGCUGCGGCUGCAGGAGGGUGGGAGGAGCCUACAGGGGCUCUCCACCGCCCUCGCCGUGUCCGAGGCUGGGUGAACACAAGGGGCGAAUGCAGCCUGGGCAGGUGUGCGAGAGGCUGAGUGCAUGCGGCCAGCCUUGCUCCUCUAUGGCCACCCACUCUGAACAGACAGGGUCCUUGGAGAACCACAGGCAACUUAGCCCCAGGCCCCGCCUCCACACUGCCACCCUGGGGAGCCCGUGUCCUGCAGUUACAGGCAUGUGCAAGGCUCCGUGUGUUACUGUAUUGCAUGUGUGUGGCUCCGUGUCAUACUGUGUCACAUACAUGUGCAUGACUGCGUCACAUUGUGUUACAGGUGCAUGGCUCCAUGUCAUACUGUGUCACAUGCGCAUGGCUGUGUCUCAUUGUCACAUGCGCAUGGCUGUGUCACACUGUGUUACCUGGGCACGACUCCAUGUUACAUGCAUGUGUGUGCUGUCCUUAGUCGGUGAACUCCACCCUUUUCUGUCUGCUCAGCUCCCGGCAGGGGGAGGGGUCUCGGGGACUCUAACUGGGAGAGAAAACAGGAGGGAAUGCCCCGUGGGCGGGGGAGCAGUCAGAAGUCGCGCGUGGCUGCUGGUGACUUCGUCAGUAGGCUGCUGGGUGGGUGGCUGGUUUUCAUGUAGGCUCGCGCACGCACAGCUACCUGGGAGAGGCACCAACCCCUACCAGUUGCCACCUCCGGGGAGCAUUGCCCGGCUCUGUUUCCUGUGUCUCCGGCAUGUGCCUAUCGUACUGCUUGCAUUUAAAAUCAGGUGGGCGCCGGGGGAGGGACGCUCGUCCGUGGAACCUGUUCUGUGCUCGCAGCACAGGGAACGCACCCUGUCCGAAGGCCCAGCUGGUCUCCAGGCAGAGGUGGUCCCGAAAGCAUCUGGGGUUGCUCCAGACGCUGCCAGGGAACCCACCCAGCCUGACCUCUGGCCGUGGGGACACCAGCUCUGUGGACUCCCGUGUGCUACACAAGUGGCCCCCCAGCCCACCCUGCAAAGCGUGGGAGGAAACGUGCCCAGGAGCCCCACGCACGCCCCUCGGAGGGGCCCCCAGACUGCAGCCCUCAAAUGGGCAGCGUGUGGAGUGGUGUCAGGGCGCUGCGGGGACCCCUGCACCCCUCAGUGGGGGGCCCUGGGCAAGUCCCAGCUCCCUGCGGGUGCGCACCCUGGGAGGCAGCGGAGGAUGGCCCAAGUGCCCGGGCCCCUGCCACCCACAUGGGAGACCCGGAUGGAGUUCCUGGCUCUGGUCUGGCCCAGCCCCAGCGGCUGCUGGCAUUUGGGGAGUGAACCAGCAGGUGGAAGAUUUCUCUCUCUCCCUCUCUCUCUCUCUCUGUCUCUCUCUGUCUCUCUCCCCGAACACACACACGCACAGUCUGCCUGA